CUAAAAAACAUUUAGUAUCAGAAAAACACCAGAAUUGGGUGUUUUUUCUAAGUGCUUGGACUGUUUUUAGAAACAGGAGAAACCCAAAUGGAUGUAGAAAAAUGUGCAAACUGAUUUUUAAAAACAACAAAAUUUAUACAUCAGCACUUAUUCCUGCACUCCGACUUGUGCAGCCCAUUGUGCAGGAAAAAUUAAAGGAGGAUGGUUCAUGUUCCCUUAUGACAAGAUGUCUUCUGAAGAAAGUGUACGCAAGGCAACCAGACGUGCUGUCAACAUUAGGACUGCUGGCCGUCUUUGGUCCUUUUUAUUCUGCGCACACAAAGGAGUGAUUGGCUGGUGAUUUUACAACGAUCAUCACUCGAGCCGAACUCAUUCAAUAUUUUCUGCCUGAGGAACGGGAUGAAACCCUUGAAAAAAAGAGAUGAAACUAGAAGACGACUAGCAG